UUUUUUUUUUUCACUUUUACCUGAAAUAUCUUUAUCUAUCUCUUCAAUUUAAGUCUGUAUGUGUCCCUAGGUCUGAAGUGAUUCUCUUGCAGACUGCAAAAAGACCAAGAUUUAUUUUGGGGUUUUUUUAGUUCAUUCAGUUACCCUAUGUCUUUUGAAUGAAGCACUUACUCCAUUUACAUUUAAAGUAAAUAUUGAUAGAUAUAUCCUUAUUGCCCUUCUGUUAUUUUAUGGUUGUUUGUGUAAGAUCUUCUCUUUUCCUCUCUUCUUCUCUUGUUCUCUUCCCCCUUGUGAGUUCAUGAGUUUCCUUAAUGUUAUACUUAGAUUGCUUUCUCUUUAUUUUUCGUGUAUCCAUUACAGGUUUUUAGUUACUAUGAGGCUCAUAUAUAAUAUCCUGUGUAUAUAGCAGUCUAUGUAUUAAGAUGGUGGUUGCUUAAAGUUCAAGUACAUUCCAAAAACACUGGAUUUUUACUACCCCCACACAUACCUUCUGUAUAUAUUGUCAUGUUUUACAUAUUCUUAUGUAUCCCUUAACACAUUUUUGUUGAUUUUACUACUUUUAUCCUUUAAACUUCAUACUACUUUCAUCCUUUAAACCUCACUAUAAUUACUAGGGAAAGUUGUCUUUUCAUAAUUUCCUUACUUCCCUAGUUAUGGUCUUUUCUUUUCUGCUUAAAGAAGUCCCUUUUAUAUUUCUUGUAAGUUUAGGUUGUUUUGUUAUUGUUGUAGUUUAAGGUUAGUGAUGAUGAACUCCUUUAAUUUUUGAUCAUCUAGAAACUCUCUCUCCUUCAACUCUGAAUAUCUUUUCUGGGUAGACAUUCCUAGUUUUAGGUUUUUUCCUUUCACUUUAGAAUGUAUCAUGCCACUCCGUUCCAGCUUGCAAAGUUUUUGCAAAAAAUAAACAAACUGAUAGCCUUAUUGAGUUUCCUUUAUACCUAGCUACUUGUUUUUCUCUUACUGCUUUUAAGAUUCUCUCCUUACCUUUAAUUUUUGAUGUUUUAUUUUUCACAUGUCUUGAUGUAGACUUUCCUGGGUUCAUCUUAUUUGGAGUUCUCCCUGCUUCCUGGGCCUGAAUGUCUGCUUUUCCCUCUAGUUUAGCAAAGUGUACAGCUAUUAUUUCUUCAAACACACUUUCUGCCUCUGUCUGUUUUCCUUCUGAGGCCCCUAUAAUGCAAGUGUUAGUAUGUUGGUGUAUUCCCAGAAGCCCCUUAACCUAUCCUCAAAUUUUUCAUUAUUUCUUCUUUUCAGCUUGGGUUCUUCCCAUUACCCCAUCUUCCAGAUUGCUGAUCUGUUGGUCUGCAUGCUCUAAUCUACCGUUGAUUACUUUCGAAUAUAUUUUUCAUCUUAGUUACUAUAUUCUUCAGCUCUGGUUGGUUUUUUUUUUCCUUUCUCUCUCUCUCUGUUGAAGUCCUCACUGAGUUUAUCCACUCUUUUCUCAAGUUCGGUGAGUAUCUUAACUUUGAACUCUUUUUCAGGUAGACUGCUUACCUAUCUUUCAUUUUUGUCUUUCAUUUGAAACAUACUCCUUUGUCUCAUUUUGUGGGACUGUUUCUACACAGGUAGGUAGGUCAGCUAGAUCUCCUGAUCUUAAAAGUAGUGGCUUUAUACAGAAGGUGUCCUGUGGUGCUCAAGAGCACAAUCUCUCCCCUUGUCACUAGACCAUGCACUCCAGGGUGUCCCCUGUGUGGACUGCAUUGAACCCUGUUCUGAUUGUGCUGCAACUGCCAUGGGCACUUAGUGGACUGGGCUGGUCCUCAGACUGGGUGUCUGCAAUGACCAGCCAAAACCAUUAUGGGUGCACUGGUUAACAGGCAUGGCUGGCUGAGAGGCCCAAUUCUAGCUGCUGCACACAUGAUAACAUGGGGGGCCAGCCACCAGAGAGGAGUAUUGGAUAUUAGUGCUGGCUCCCCACCUCCCUGACAGGAGUAGGUUUGGAGGGGUGCCAGUCCCAGCUGCGGCUGCUCACCAAAUGUGGCAGGGUGGUAUUUGCUUUGAGUGGAUACUAGUCCCCAUGGAGGCUACCUGUCAGCUAUGGCAGGGCAGGAGCUGUUUUGCUGGGGUAUCUGCUGUGACAGAAGGGUUUGAGUGGGACAAGUCUGCAGGGGAACACCAGGGUUGGGCAAGCAAUGCCAACAACACAGAUGGAGAGUGUCAGAACCCCAACCAGUGUCCAGCCAGCGAGGAAGGAAGGUAAGAAAAACAGCACCUGCCAGCACUCUGUUCUUACAGAAAGCUCCCACAGAUCCUUGUCCCUCUAGUACACACUCUAAAAUUAAUCAGUAAAUCUCCUUCACAUUUAAUUAACCCUGGCACUUUUCAAACUACUUUUUGAGCUGGAUCUCCACUGAGUGAUACAACACACUGACCCUCUGUUUCCUGCAGCCCUCCAGCUACCCCAGGAUUAAGUCACUGAUUUUUAAAGCCAGACAUUAUGGGGGUUCAUCUUGUCAAUGCAGAUCUCUAAGGCAGAUCUCUAAUGCCUAAUGUGGAGCUUGAUCCCCUGCCACCUCAGGGAGGACCUUCAAGAGUCUCUAUAAUGGCUCUCCCACUUGUAGGUCGUCACACUGGGGGUCUGGAUCCCAAUCACAUCUGGCUUCUUCUACUAUUCUAAAUGUGGCUUCCUCUUUGUGUCUUUAGCUGUGGAAGAUCUGCUCUGCUGGUUGUAUUUCACCUAACUGUUGCUUCAUGGUGUGUCUAUGGGAAGAAGUGAGCUCAGGAUCCUCCUACUCUGCCAUCUUCCCCUGCUCUCUAAUAUCAAGUAUCCUUUAAGUUUCCAAGACUGAGUGCUUUUAAAAAUACAGAGAGGAUGCUUUUUAACUUUAUGGCAAAUUUAAGACACAGGAUAAUUAUUUAAAUGUAAAGAUAUGAUUUAUUGCCCAACUACUGCCUAAAAGGGUAUCAGCAGCUUCUAAGAGACCUUGUACAAACAAUUAGGCCAUUAAAAUAUAAAAUGAAAAGUAAACCCAGAAAACAAUGGUUCUUUAUCUUAACGGCAAAGAGUGGAGGUCACUAAGCAUUUGAUAAAAGCCAAAGAUACUCCACCAGAUUGUCAUAUGCACAAAAACAAUUUUACCUAUCAUUUCAGAGGGUGAUGGUGAUACACAGAGAGGGGAUUAAAAACUCCUGCCACAGAGAACUAGAAAAGAAAUUUUCCAUCCAAAAGCCUAGACUAAUAAAGUUACUGUAAUUAAAAUGAAAUCUAACUCCAAACUUCCUUGCAGCCCAAGCAAAUAAAAAACAUGAUGGGCUAAAUAAUUCUCAAUGGCUAAUAGAAGGAAGUGUGCUAGGUCGUAAGGAAACUUUUGUCUAAACUAAAUCUUCAAAGAAUUUGUCACAUGAAUUCUUAUA
rnacentral:lncRNA from 1 species